rnacentral:rRNA from 1 species
UUGAACGCUGGCGGCAGGCCUAACACAUGCAAGUCGAGCGGAUGAAGGGAGCUUGCUCCUGGAUUCAGCGGCGGACGGGUGAGUAAUGCCUAGGAAUCUGCCUGGUAGUGGGGGAUAACGUCCGGAAACGGGCGCUAAUACCGCAUACGUCCUGAGGGAGAAAGUGGGGGAUCUUCGGACCUCACGCUAUCAGAUGAGCCUAGGUCGGAUUAGCUAGUUGGUGGGGUAAAGGCCUACCAAGGCGACGAUCCGUAACUGGUCUGAGAGGAUGAUCAGUCACACUGGAACUGAGACACGGUCCAGACUCCUACGGGAGGCAGCAGUGGGGAAUAUUGGACAAUGGGCGAAGGCCUGAUCCAGCCAUGCCGCGUGUGUGAAGAAGGUCUUCGGAUUGUAAAGCACUUUAAGUUGGGAGGAAGGGCAGUAAGUUAAUACCUUGCUGUUUUGACGUUACCAACAGAAUAAGCACCGGCUAACUUCGU